AGUGAAUCUUAUUACAACUUCAGCAGAUUUUCGGCAAAAGAGAACGAGAAUACACAUAAUGUCCCGAAGUUUCCUCUCAGAGAUCAACGCCAUUCGCUAGUCUGCCACUGCGAUGCAUGGAACAACCGCUGGCCGGUGCAGUGGAAUCACCUGAACUCUCGCCUCCGUUGAAUGGAUCUGAUCGAAUGGGGAUCGCCCACAUGCAAUGCGUCGUACUGCGAGGCCUAAAGCUGUGGUCGAUACCUUUCGGCUGUCGACAGCUCUAGGCUUCGCCGCUCAGGCAGCCUCGCCUGACGUUGCUGUCACUCUGGUGCGAUGGUCAUGGCAAAAGCAACCCGAAUCUACAACCAAGAAGAUACCCAAUGCGUAAAUUCUCUCAAACAUCACAGUCAUGUUAUAAUAAGAGAUACGUUGCAGAGAUAUGAGAACCCCGUCACCUGUACCCCUGGUAAGUAGGAGCUCCCCGAUGGAGGGCGGCCGAAUGUGCUGUCUUAGUGGAGAAGCCAGCGAGAUGGUAGUUUGUAGGUACCUCCCCCACCUCCCCACCCUCUCUCUCUCUCUCUCUCUAUCACACACACGCAUCCACAUCUUCACAAG
rnacentral:lncRNA from 1 species